UACGGAGGGUGCAAGCGUUAGUCGGAAUUACUGGGCGUAAAGGGUGCGUAGGCGGGUAUACAAGUCACAUGUGAAAUUCCGAGGCUCAACCUCGGAGCUGCAUGUGAAACUGUAUAUCUAGUGGAAUGGGCGGAGAAAUGGAAUUCCAUGUGUAGCGGUGAAAUGCGUAGAUAUAUGGAAGAACACCUGUGGCGAAAGCGGUUUCUAGCCUACUCCAGACGCUGAGGCACGAAAGCAAGGGGAUCAAACAGG
rnacentral:rRNA from 1 species